rnacentral:rRNA from 1 species
CACGUAGGGCGCAAGCGUUGUCCGGAAUUAUUGGGCGUAAAGAGCGUGUAGGCGGCCAGAUAGGUCCGUUGUGAAAACUGGAGGCUUAACCUCCAGCGGUCGAUGGAAACCAUCUGGCUAGAGUCCGGAAGAGGAGAGUGGAAUUCCUGGUGUAGCGGUGAAAUGCGUAGAGAUGCGGAGGAACACCGAUGGCGAAGGCAACCCCCUGGGCUGACACUGACGCUCAGGCACGAAAGCGUGGGGAGCAAACAGG